rnacentral:rRNA from 1 species
GACGAACGCUGGCGGCGUGCUUAACACAUGCAAGUCGAGCGGUAAGGCCCUUUCGGGGGUACGACGAGCGGCGAACGGGUGAGUAACACGUGGGUGACCUGCCCUCAGCUCUGGGAUAAGCCUGGGAAACCGGGUCUAAUACUGGAUAUGACUCCAUGACGCAUGUUGUGGGGUGGAAAGCCUUGUGCGGCUGAGGAUGGGCCCGCGGCCUAUCAGCUUGUUGGUGGGGUGANGGCCUACCAAGGCGACGACGGGUAGCCGGCCUGAGAGGACGACCGGCCACACUGGGACUGAGACACGGCCCAGACUCCUACGGGAGGCAGCAGUGGGGAAUCUUGCGCAAUGGGCGAAAAGCCUGACGCAGCGACGCCGCGUGAGGGAUGACGGCCU